rnacentral:misc_RNA from 1 species
GACCUCUCAACCGCUUUGGUAUUCGAUUACAAAAGUCGGCUUGGAACUUGGGUGCCUCUGGCGAAACGCAAAAGGUCUUUGCGGACCUGUCGCCCACCCCAAAGUCAGUUGGGCCAACCGCGCGGAUGAGCGGACGGUUUGACCACAGUGUUGUAAGGUUCGCCUCACUGUCGGGACGUCCAUUUCCGUUAGCAAUCAGGCAUUCGAAAUACGAUACUAUCGA